AUGAGCAAGCCAUCGAGGUGCAGGGCAGUGCAGACGCAGGUCGCCCUGCUCCUCCUCUUGCUCGUCGCUGCCUCCCUGCUCCAGGCCGGCGACGCUGCUUCAGGGUUCUGCGCGGGCAAGUGCGCGGUCCGGUGCGGGCGGUCGCGCGCAAAGCGGGGGGCGUGCAUGAAGUACUGCGGGCUGUGUUGCGAGGAGUGCGCCUGCGUGCCGACGGGGAGGAGCGGCAGCCGCGACGAGUGCCCCUGCUACCGCGACAUGCUCACCGCCGGGCCCAGGAAGAGGCCCAAGUGCCCGUGA
rnacentral:rRNA from 1 species